rnacentral:rRNA from 1 species
CCUACGGGUGGCUGCAGUGGGGAAUAUUGGACAAUGGGCGAAAGCCUGAUCCAGCCAUGCCGCGUGUGUGAAGAAGGCCUUCGGGUUGUAAAGCACUUUCAGUGGGGAAGAAAGCCUUGGGGCUAAUACCCUCGAGGAAGGACAUCACCCACAGAAGAAGCACCGGCUAACUCCGUGCCAGCAGCCGCGGUAAUACGGAGGGUGCGAGCGUUAAUCGGAAUUACUGGGCGUAAAGCGCGCGUAGGCGGUCUGAUAAGCCGGUUGUGAAAGCCCCGGGCUCAACCUGGGAACGGCAUCUGGAACUGUCAGGCUAGAGUGCAGGAGAGGAAGGUAGAAUUCCCGGUGUAGCGGUGAAAUGCGUAGAGAUCGGGAGGAAUACCAGUGGCGAAGGCGGCCUUCUGGACUGACACUGACGCUGAGGUGCGAAAGCGUGGGUAGCAAACAGGAUUAGAUACCCUGGUAGUC